GGAUGGCCUGGUUGGUAGAGCAUGAGACUUUCAAUCUCAGGGUCAUGAGUUUGAGCCCCACGUUGGACA